rnacentral:tRNA from 1 species
CAUAGUGUAGCUUAUCGCAAAGCAUCUGGCCUACACCCAGAAGAAUCCAUAUUUUAUGGACACUCUGA